CUGAGCUUGCCUCGUACAGUGUUUCCAAUGCCAAAGCCAACGUAGCUUACUUAAGCGUUCAACAUUUGUUUUCUCCAAUAGCUAUAACCUUUUGCUUCUUUAUCAAGGUAUUUGCUUUCUUUUUAUCAACCUCACCUUUCCUUGCUCUCAUUAAUGGAAUCUGGGUUUCUUGAUGUUGGUUGAAUAUGUUCUAAACAUUUCUUUCUUUGGUGGGAAUUCGGCAACCGGACUACGGAGUCAGUGGUUUGAGCUUUGAAACAAUAAACCCGAAUUCCCACCAAGAGCUUUGAUUCAGUUAAUUCCAUUAGGAAUAAAAUUACUUUUAAUUAAGUUAAAAGGAGGGAAGUAUGGAGCCUCUGUGUGAUUUUUGUGGGGUGUUGAGGGCAGUGGUGUAUUGUAAAUCGGAUUUGGCACGCCUUUGCUUGCAUUGUGACGGAUGUGUACACUCUGCCAAUUCUUUGUCCCGUAGGCACAUGCGUUCGCUCUUAUGUGAUAAGUGCAAUUCCCAGCCUGCAAUUGUCCGCUGCAUGGAUGAUCAAAUGUCUCUUUGUCAAGGCUGUGAUUGGAAUGGUAAUGAGUGUUCAAGGCUGGGGCAUCGACGCCAGUCAUUGAAUUGUUAUACAGGUUGUCCUUCUUUGACAGAGUUGUCAAGGAUUUGGUCUUCUCUUCUUGAUUCGUCUUCUUCAAGUAAUUUUGAUAGUGGUUGGGAGUACAUGACUACACAGCCUAUGAGUGAGAACUGCAUCAACAACUGUUUGGAACAAAGGGAUAACGAGGGCUCAUUGGAGUUGGUGGCAACUAAACCGAAUGAAAUUGAACCUUGCUCUAAGUUUGAGUCUUGGACAGGGCUGUCUUCUUUGAUUCCAACAAAUCCAAAUUACAUGCCAUACUGCAGAGAUCAAGCACCUUUCUUUUCUGAAGAAUUAAAUUUACCAAAGGAAUCUUCGAAUUUCAAGGAUCUUAUUGAUACUGAUGAUCUCUGUGAAGGCCUCAACAUGGAUGAUGUGUCAUUAAAAAAUGGCGAGAUAUUUGGCUGUCCCCAAGGUUCUACUAGAUACCAGUUUGAGGAUGGAGGAAUGGAAUGUCUAUCGAUGGAAAAAAACCUAUCAGUCACUGAAUCUAAUGGUCCUAUUGAGAGUGCUUUAGAGGCAUCGUCAUCAGGACAGCAAGAUUGUGUGGGUUUUCAAUCCUCUCAUGUUGGUGGGUCAGCUAGUAUGAUGCCUGUUAAUGGUGGUCCAAAUUGCUUACUUCUGAAUCCUACUCACACCAGAAACAUCAAUCUGGGGUUUCCUACUGGGCAAGUUCAUUCAAGCAUAUCACUUUCACUAUCCAACAUCACAGGUGAAAGCAGUGCAGCUGAUUAUCAAGAUUGUGGAUUAUCACCAGUAUUUCUGACAGUUGAAUCACCUUGGGAAUCAAAUUUGGAGGCUAGCUGCCCACAAGCAAGGGAUAAAGCUAAGAUGAGAUAUAAUGAAAAAAAGAAAAGUCGAACGUUUGGUAAACAAAUAAGAUAUGCCUCUCGUAAAGCCAGAGCUGAUACUAGAAAGCGUGUGAAAGGGAGAUUUGUGAAACAAGGUGAGGUAUAUGAUUAUGACCCCCUCACGACAAGUGACUUCUGAACCAUUUCACCCAAUCUCCAUGUCUUGCCUUUUAAGACAAAGCCUAAUUGGACAAGACUGGGAUUGUCCAUGGUCAACUGAGCAUCAUCUUCCUACAGGCAAUGGCAAUGGAUAUUCAGUCAGGAAAUAGAAUUGAUGAAGAAAGUCGAGUGAGGACCUUUCGGUCAUGUUCUUUAGCCUAUCCUUAUGUAGAACCUCCUCUUGCUUUUGCUGCCAGCUCCAGCAACCUUUCUUAAGGCAGAAACCUUAUUGCAAGUCAUUUUUUUGUUAUUGUAGUUGCAUUCAUUUAUUUAAUCAGUCUCUACUCCAUGUAAUGAUUCCAGAUUUAUAUUUUACAAAUUGUAAUAAAACUAGAGCUUCCAUAUUUAAGAAUGAUAAGUAACACUUACCCUUCCAUCA